rnacentral:lncRNA from 1 species
AUGUGGUGCGGGAUAGCACCGAAUCCAGCCGGGUCGGCUCCAGAUGCGCGGCGCUGGUGGACCGAGCCCAGCUGGGGGACGGGGCCGGCGGAGCUCCCUCCCUUCCGCGGGGCUGGAACCGGCCCCUGGGCAGCGCCCCCAGCUCCUCCCCGCUCUGUAGGGCCGGUCCGAGCCCCUCCUCCCGUUUCCGCUGGCAGGAGCUGGAGCCGUGUCCUGCCGUGCCUGUGCAGCUCCCUCAGGACUCGGCCCUAUCCGGCUCGGCUCGGCCCGGCCCGGCCCGGCCCAGCCCAGCCCGGCCCAGCCCAGCCCAACGCGGUCCAGGGACGUGCGGGUUUGUUUGGGGACCUUUCCAUUGGCAUACAUCCAGUUGCCUCAAGUAACACUAAGCUGAGAUGA